rnacentral:lncRNA from 1 species
CCGACAGCUAUCUUUUCUUUUGUUCGUGUCUCUGGAUAACAUGAAAUUUUCCACUGAGAUACCGUUUCAUUAUUUUUUGGCACUAAACUUUCCAAGGAAGUGAGAGGGUGCUUUCCUGAUGUGACACAAUGAUAAGACAGAGGCAAGGACGAAGGUAUACUUUGCAAGCGGACACGGUGACGUGUGGGAAGCAGUGAGAAGGGAUCAGUUAAGUUAGCUAACUGUAGUAGUAAGAGGUUAAAGCCCAAAGCAUACUAUGCUCCACGGCCUACCCGGCCAGCAGGCUUGGGCCAUGCAUUUUUAUUUAUGAGGCCAGGGCUCUUAUAAAUAAAAGCAAGGUCAAAAUAGAAAGUUUGCGGUAUUCCAAGUCUGUGUAUAUGAAAAUAAAGGAUCAGGUAGGUGGACAUAUCAGAUCUUUAUUCGCUGAAGUCCACUUGGAGAAACUACUAGUUUUUUUUUACAUUUUUAAUGAUUUUCCUAAGGUGGGUUUUAAGCUUCUCUGCUGAGCUCCUUCUGAGAGUCCUUACAACACCUCUCUCUGGAGGUUGGGAUGAAUAAGGACUAUAAGGACUAUAGGCUUAUAGACUAUAAGGACUAUAAGGACUAUGAAUAUGAAUAAGGACUGUGCUUUAAAUGUUUCACAGGGAGGAAGAAUAUACAGUGUGAUAUGUGUUUAUAAUUACUUGGUGGAAAGGCUGCCCAGCUAUACAGGAGAUUCUCCACCAUCGUAGUCCUGGAGCCAUUGGGAAAGUAGAAGAACACGCUGCUGAAUUGGACCAAGAUAAUAUUGCAGGUGUGGUUUAUGACUAGAGAAGCAGUAGAAAUAGAGGAAGAAAUGAAAGGGGAAGAAUGUGUUCAUAGGAAGAUCUCAGACAUGCACAAGAUGUUCCCUUAACCUAAUCCAAGCCUAAGACACUGAGAAGUUAGACAUCUUGAUCAGGGUCACAGGGAUGACUUCCUAUUUCUAGUGCAGAGCUUUUACUUCUGCACCAAAGGAAGAGGCCACUGGGAGUGACCUGGUGAAAGACUAAUGAAGUUGGUUUUGAAUUUGUUGUUUAAUUAAAAAACGCUUACGUGGUCUAUUAAAAAGGCUAAGUUUACCUGGAUUAACUCUUAGAGUAAGAAAGUCACCUUUUAUUAUUUGUCAUUAUUGAUGAUAUAUUUCUUUGGCUAUAAAAAAUACCAGGGAAUUAAUUUUCUUUAUUAAUGUGGUACCACUGGGACAAUGGGAGGGGAUGAUUUAGAUUUUUUAAUAAGCACUCAUAUUUAUCCUGAUUAUGGUAUGUUGGAGAGAGAUGUAGUCAAUAUCCAACCCCCGAGGGUCUGAAGCCCCUUCCUCAUCUACUCACAGGAUAAGACAUUUGUAAUUCAAUCUAGUGACUUAGUUCCCUCUUGGCAUUUCAAUGAACUCUUCUCUAUUUAGUGGCACCAUUCUAGGCCCAUUCAGACUCUAGAGGAACCCAAUAAGGAAUUGUUUGUUUUCACUCCAAAUUAUCUAAAGAGACCUAGGCUCUAUGGAUUGAGGACAUUGUACAAUAAGGAAAAACUGACCUAAUUUCUGAUUGUUCCUUCAUAAGGAUCUCUAUGGCAUCAUGUGUAUGACUUGGGGAGAAGGCUAUCUGGUUUUAUCAAGGUAAGAGCCGAGAAAAGAGAAGGGAGAAAGGAAAGAAAGUGUACAUUUAUUGAGUGCUAACUGUAUGCUUGGCAGUUUAUAGACGCUGGCUUAUUGGAUCUUUAUAAUAACCCUACGAUAUGGUUGGUUUCAUUUUAUAAGCGAGGAAAUUAGAAUCAGAGAAUCAUGCACUUGGUCCUGAGAUUCCAGAUUUUGUAAUACACAAAGUGGUCUUACCUACUAGGGAUGUUCAUG